UACGGAGGGUGCAAGCGUUAUCCGGAUUCACCGGGUUUAAAGGGUGCGUAGGCGGCGCGGAAAGUAGGGUGUGAAAUCCCUCGGCUCAACCGAGGAACUGCGCUCUAAACUACCGUGCUCGAGGGAGAUAGAGGUAAGCGGAACUUAGGGUGGAGCGGUGAAAUGCGUUGAUAUCCUAAGGAACACCGGUGGCGAAAGCGGCUUACUGGAUCUCUUCUGACGCUGAGGCACGAAAGCUAGGGUAGCGAACGGG
rnacentral:rRNA from 1 species